AUACGGAGGAUCCGAGCGUUAUCCGGAUUUAUUGGGUUUAAAGGGUGCGCAGGCGGCCAUUUAAGUCAGCGGUUAAAUCGUGGGGCUCAACCCCAUUCUGCCGUUGAUACUGGGUGGCUUGAUUGCGGCAGAGGUUGGCGGAAUUCGUUGUGUAGCGGUGAAAUGCAUAGAUAUGACGAAGAACACCGAUUGCGUAGGCAGCUGACCAGACAGCAAAUGACGCUCAUGCACGAAAGUGCGGGGAUCGAACAGGAUUAGAUACCCUGGUAGUCCGCACAGUAAACGAUGAAUACUUGUUUUCGGCGAUAUAAUGUCGGAGGCAAAGCGAAAGCGAUAAGUAUUCCACCUGGGGAGUACGCCGGCAACGGUGAAACUCAAAGGAAUUGACGGGG
rnacentral:rRNA from 1 species